rnacentral:rRNA from 1 species
UACGAAGGGGGCUAGCGUUGUUCGGAAUCACUGGGCGUAAAGCGCAUGUAGGCGGAUCGUUAAGUCGGGGGUGAAAGCCCGAGGCUCAACCUCGGAACUGCCUUCGAUACUGGCGAGCUUGAGUCCGGGAGAGGUGAGUGGAACUCCGAGUGUAGAGGUGAAAUUCGUAGAUAUUCGGAAGAACACCAGUGGCGAAGGCGGCUCACUGGCCCGGUACUGACGCUGAGAUGCGAAAGCGUGGGGAGCAAACAGG